rnacentral:rRNA from 1 species
GACGAACGCUGGCGGCGUGCUUAACACAUGCAAGUCGAACGAUGAACCAGGGCUUGCCCUGGGGAUUAGUGGCGAACGGGUGAGUAACACGUGGGCAACCUGCCCCUGACAUCGGGAUAACUCCGGGAAACCGGGGCUAAUACCGGAUAUGAGCCUCGAGGGCAUCCUUGAGGCUGGAAAGUUUUUCGGUCAGGGAUGGGCCCGCGGCCUAUCAGCUUGUUGGUGGGGUAACGGCCCACCAAGGCGACGACGGGUAGCCGGCCUGAGAGGGCGACCGGCCACACUGGGACUGAGACACGGCCCAGACUCCUACGGGAGGCAGCAGUGGGGAAUAUUGCGCAAUGGGCGAAAGCCUGACGCAGCGACGCCGCGUGAGGGACGACGGCCUUCGGGUUGUAAACCUCUUUCAGCAGGGACGAAGCGAAAGUGACGGUACCUGCAGAAGAAGCACCGGCCAACUACGUGCCAGCAGCCGCCGUAAGAC